CCUACGAGUGGCAGCAGUGAGGAAUAUUGGGCAAUGGACGCAAGUCUGAAGCAGCCAUGCCGCGUGCAGGAAGACGGCUCUAUGAGUUGUAAACUGCUUUUAUACGAGAGUAAACGCAGAUACGCGUAUCUGUCUGAAAUGACCGUACGAAUAAGGAUCGGCUAACUCCGGUCCAGCAGCCGCGGUACUACGGAGGAGUCAAGGGUUGUCCGGAUUGAUUGGGUUUAACGGGUGCGUUGGCGGUCGGGUAAGUUAGAUGUAAAAUCCCGAGGCUCAACUUCGGAAUUGCCUAUGAUACUGUUCGGCUAGAGAGUAGGUGCGGUAGGCGGAAUGUAUGGUGUAGCGGUGAAAUGCUUAGAGAUCAUACAGAACACCGAUUGCGAAGGCAGCUUACCAAGCUACUUCUGACGUUGAGGCACGAAAGCGUGGGGAGCAAACAGGAUUAGAUACCCGGGUAGUC
rnacentral:rRNA from 1 species